ACGGAGGGUGCGAGCGUUGUCCGGAAUCACUGGGCGUAAAGGGCGCGUAGGUGGCUGGAGAAGUCAACGGUGAAAGCUUGGGGCUCAACCCCGAGUCGGCCGUCGAUACUCUUUGGCUUGAGCACUGUAGAGGCAGGUGGAAUUCCGGGUGUAGCGGUGGAAUGCGUAGAGAUCCGGAAGAACACCAAAGGCGAAGGCAGUCUCCUGGGAGUUUCCUGACGCUCAUGCGCGAAAGCCAGGGGAGCGAACGGGA
rnacentral:rRNA from 1 species